AUGACGAGUGGCGCACGGGUGCGUAAGGCGUAUGCAAUCUACCUUUAACUGGUGAAUAGCUCGAAGAAAUUCGAAUUAAUACACCAUGGUAUUACUGAUUGGCAUCAAUUAGUAAUUAAAGUUUCGGCGGUUAAAGAUGAGCAUUCGUGACAUUAGCUUGUUGGUGAGGUAACGGCUCACCAAGGCUACGAUGUCUAGGGGAUCUGAGAGGACUAACCCCCACACUGGUACUGAGACACGGACCAGACUCC
rnacentral:rRNA from 1 species